rnacentral:rRNA from 1 species
UACGGAGGGUGCAAGCGUUAUCCGGAAUUACUGGGUUUAAAGGGUGUGUAGGCGGGCUUUUAAGUCAGUGGUGAAAUCUCCGGGCUCAACCCGGAAACUGCCAUUGAUACUAUUAGUCUUGAAUUUUGUUGAGGUAGGCGGAAUAAGUCAUGUAGCGGUGAAAUGCAUAGAUAUGACUUAGAACACCAAUUGCGAAGGCAGCUUGCUAAACAAAUAUUGACGCUGAGGCACGAAAGCGUGGGGAUCAAACAGG